UGGGGAAUUUUGGACAAUGGGCGCAAGCCUGAUCCAGCAAUGCCGCGUGAGUGAAGAAGGCCCUCGGGUUGUAAAGCUCUUUUGUCAGGGAAGAAAAGGUGAUCUCUAAUACAGGUCACUCAUGACGGUACCUGAAGAAUAAGCACCGGCUAACUACGUGCCAGCAGCCGCGGUAAUACGUAGGGUGCAAGCGUUAAUAGGCAUUACUGGGCGUAAAGCGUGCGCAGGCGGUUAUAUAAGUCAGAUGUGAAAUCCCCGGGCUCAACCUGGGAACUGCAUUUGAGACUGUAUGGCUAGAGUGUGUCAGAGGGGGGUAGAAUUCCACGUGUAGCAGUGAAAUGCGUAGAUAUGUGGAGGAAUACCGAUGGCGAAAGCAGCCCCCUGGGAUAACACUGACGCUCAUGCACGAAAGCGUGGGGAGCAAACA
rnacentral:rRNA from 1 species